GGAGAGGUGGCCGAGUGGCCGAAGGCGUCCGCCUGCUAAGCGGAUACACGGUUGAAAGGCCGUGUCGAGGGUUCGAAUCCCUCCCUCUCCGCCA
rnacentral:tRNA from 1 species